UGUCCCUGUUGAAUCUGAAUUUAUCCAGUUUAAACCCAUUACUUCGUGUCCUACCCGGUUCUCUUACCAACAAAACCUUAUGAAUGUCUCCCUUAUUAAAGCCCUUCAUCCAUUUAUAAACCUCGAUCAUGUCUCCACGCACCCUUCGCCUUUCUAGAGAAUGCAAGUUUAACUGUUUGAGUCUUCCCUCGUAUGCCAAGUUUCUCAACCCCUGAAUCAUCUUAGUCAUCCUCCUCUGCACCGAUUCUAACAUUUUGAUAUCCAUUCUAUAGUAAGGUGACCAGAACUGAACCGCAUAGUCAAGAUGAGGUCUAACUAAUGCUAAAUAUAGUUUGAGGAAGACUUCGGGGCUUCUGUUGCUUACGCUCCUUAUGUUGCUUACGCAAGGCAAAGAGGAAGAGGGAGAGAGAGAGGGGGUUGAGAGGGAAAGAAAAGGAAGCAGGGAGGAAGGGAGAGGGAGGCAAAGAAAGGGAAAGGAAGGAGGGGAAAGGAGAGUUAAGGGAAGGGAGGGAGUGAAGGAGAUGUGAGGGAGGUUGGGAACAUUAGGAAAUGCCUUUGUACUGCAGUGGACCAAUAAUAAUGGCUGAGGAGGAGGAGGAGAAGGAAGAGGGAGGGAUGUACACCUUUCAUAGGAAGCUCAGUCACAGCAAACAGGAGUCACUGAGGAGCUCUGUGCCUUGUCUUCAGAGGCCGUGGUGCUGAGUGAGUCUCCGAGGCUGUGUCUGGUGUGUGACGAGCAGGUGGAGCAACACGCAGCCUUACGGAAGGAGUGGUAUGGGUGACGCAGAGGCUCUCACUCAGGUGGUGCUGCCCGUGGCCUACCAGUUCAACCCACAGCUGGUCCUGGUCACUGCCAGCCUUGAUGCUGGUGCGGGGACCCACUUGGAGGUUGCCGGGUGAGUCCUGGUUGCUGUGGACAUAUGAUGGCCCUUCUGUCUGGCCUGGCCGAGGGCCGCAUGGUUCUGGCACUGGAGGGCGGCUUCAACCUCACCACCAUCAGCUGCUGCACGACGCUGUGUGCCAAGGCCUUGCUGGGGGACCCGCUGCCCCCCCCUUGAGCCCCAGCUGGUGCCCAACAAGAGUGCCGUGCAGACCAUCAAUGACGUCAUCCGUACCCACAGCCGCUACUGGCCGGC